rnacentral:rRNA from 1 species
UACGGGGGGUGCGAGCGUUGUCCGGAAUCACUGGGCGUAAAGGGCGCGUAGGUGGUCUGAUAAGGGUGUGGUGAAAGCCCGGGGCUCACCCCCGGAAGGGCAUUGGAAACUGGCGGACUCGAGUCCCGGAGAGGAAGGUGGAAUUCCUGGUGUAGCGGUGAAAUGCGUAGAUAUCAGGAGGAAUACCGGUGGCGAAGGCGGCCUUCUGGACGGUGACUGACGCUGAGACGCGAAAGCGUGGGGAGCAAACAGG